CAUUUGGAAACAACAUUUGGAGGAACAUUUGGAUUGCAUCCUCUAACUAAAUUUCCAAGCUGUUGGUAACGGACUAAAGAAAAUGUGGUCUGCACUGAAUACUAAAGAGCUGCAAAUAGUAGUCCCAUAGUGGCAGUGGGGCACUGUGGAAAUAAAAGACAAGAGACAUAUGCCAAGGAUGAUGCGUGUUCUGGAAGGGAUGAACCCGUGUCCCUCACCCCCAAAUAUGACCAAGGGUGAUCCUGUGGUGGCUGAUACCUGAUGUAUUACUUCAUCAGCAAAUUCAACAAGGCCAAGAUGUCUUCAUUUUCCUUCAGAGCAAGAGCUGUAAGAGCAGUGUGGUGGAAGUAUUGGUCUUCUGUGGCCAGCCGGUGAGAGCCCAUCAACAGCUGUGAUGAGCAGAGCAGACACGGGAGACAGGAGGCAGCUGAAGCCAAAGAGGACCCACGCCUGGAGCUGUGUCUGUGUGAUUGGAGCAGAGAGAGGCCAGGACCCAAGGAAAUCCCAGCAGCAAGGGAAAAAAACAGAUUGACUCUCAGUGACUCAUUUAGCUCCUGGAUUGGACAGAUCUCUCCCCUGCUGGCAAUUUGGCUGAGCAUCAAUGGACAGAUACCAGGAUGAAUAGCUUAAAAUAAUUAGGGGUUGGGAAUUUGCAAAACUGCUAGCUAUCCAAUUCUUUACUGUGCAAUGCGAGGCAGAAAAAAGAAAUUACAUUUAGGUUAUUAAAUAUUAAGUCAGUGGAUUUACUUCCAUUUGGUGCAGAACAGGAAACUGGCUAAAAUUCAACAUUUAUAUCAUUGUGUUGAUGGUCUGUUUAUCACUGAGCAAGUAAGUGCUUUUUGGCAGGUCAAGCUCUUUGACACAUGGGGCAAAUGUGUGCUUAAUUUCUCCCAAACAGAAGAAUUAAUAUAAUAAUAAUUAACACAGAUGAGAGCAGAAUUAAAAUCAAGUACAGUCAGGAGUUCAGUUUAAUGCCAGGUGUCUCACAUUUUAGAUGUUCUGGGGCCACAUUUUUCCUGUUGAAGGUAGCAAGUGCCUUUGGCACUUAUGGGACCUGAAGUGGGCCUUAGAUGUAAAGAGACAGGAUUCCCUGUAGUUUCUAUUCAAUGCACAAAACCAGAAGCAACAGGCUCAUUUAGUAUCAGUAAAGGUCAGUUAAAAUUAUAGAGACAUCCUUUGGAGCAAAUCCUCUGCCUUGUAUUUGCAUAUUUAUGAAUUAGAGAUUACGACAGGCUAUUUCAUUUAUUAGAGCAGCACUGCUAUAGUUAAUAGUCUGUCAGUACUUCCAUUAUAAACCCCAUUUUUCAGUGUUUAAUAUCUCAGCCAUUUAAAAUCACAUCAGGAAACAAGUUGGUCUUAGGUUUCUGGCCAGGUGCAAUUUUUUGUUAUGGAUUAUUUUCAAUAAUGAAAUACUGCUCAUCAUAUAUGCAGAUGAGCCACAGCAUUUCUGUUGGAGGAAAAUAGCAGGGUGUGUAGAUUCAUUGUGGUUUUGUUUUUUUCUUUAGGAAAGAAGGGAAAAGAGGGAUUUGACCAAUCAUGUCAACUGUGGCCUUAUGUUUAAAGAACAGUUUUUCAAGUAACUGCUCUCAGAGGAAAGGCUGGUUCUCAGUGGGAAAUCAGGUUGCUGUUUGCUUGCCAGUGCUGACCAAGGUAAACAGCACUACUGGUCUUCUGAUGAAAUUUUCAAAAUUUGGGAUAAGUGGCAAAUUCUUCAGUGAAUCCAAGGGAACCAGAUUAUGGAUGGUCAGCUUAGCAAGAGAAACCAAGGUACCAGGUACUUGAGAAAUGCAAGCUCAAGGCAGGCUGUGAGGAACAUCUACACUUAGAGAAGUCUUUCUGGAAAGCCAAUGGAAAUUAUUUGCUCAAAUAUUAGUGAUUUGUGAGAUAAUCUAUUAUAGAUUAAUCAUUUCAGUCUUAUGGUGCAAUGUCAAAAAUAAAUUUGGGUUAUGAAGCUGGAGGGGAGCCACUUGGGGGUCGUGUGUUCUCACUGAUGCUCCUUAUUUGACUUUGAAAACAGCCUCAUGACGAGAUUUUUGAAGCUGAUUGUUACCCCAUGGAAUCCAAAUCACAAGCUCCUCCAGCAAUCAGUGGAACUAUUAAUUAACCUGAGGUCAGUCCCUGGCCCAUUGCAGGCAUGGCAGGAUCCAUGAAAGAGGGCAGAUACAGAGGAAGAUACGGGCUCACAUUCCAGCAAAGAUGUCCACAGAAGGAUGUGCUUCCCUCUAAGGAGCUACCAGGUCCCAGUGACACUGCUGCCUUCUAACAUGGAUGUUCUUCAACCUGCACCACUCAUCCAUAGGACAGAGCUUCUUUUAUACCACCUUCCCGACACAGGGCUGAGGUUCCUGUGGAAAUACCGUCUGUCAGUGUUCCUACCUGUGCCUGUGGUGGGUGCUGAGUCUCAGGAGAACAGAGAUCGAGCACAUCCGUGAAAAGGGUGGCUGGUUGGGAUUGCAUCUGUGAAGCAGCACAGUCACCAAGGAGCAGGUUGGAGAAGAAGCAGCACUUCUGUACCCAAGGCAUGAGACAGGGGGGCCCUCAGGAGCCAGGCACCCGCUGUGGUUGGUGGGAUACAAACAAAUCCCAUGGAGAAUGAAGAUGCUCCCAUGAAGCAUAAAAUAUCUCUCCAGAAUCAAUCUGGAGCUGAAAACAUCCCCGUAGGAAGCGUACACAUCCCUGCUUAUACAGGAACAGAAACAGCAAUAACUUCAGGUCCUGUAAGCUGCAAGUUCAACUUACAGAGAUGAGCCCUGACUUGUCAUCGCUCUCAGCGUGCUGGUGAUGAGAUCAGAGCACUCCACCAAGGACUCAUACUUCCAGCUUGACAAGGGACAGAGGUGAGCGUGCUACACCUCACUGACACUCGCCUCUCCAACUGCAGAAAGGAAUCGAGAGCUCCUCUCUUUAACAUGCAGUCACAGCACUGCCAAUCUAAAAUGGCUGAUCAGUAAUACUUUAAUUGCAGUUUCAUAGAAACAAAUUGCUAUUUAAUUGCAGUAAGCUUGUCUGUGGCUUAGCUGGACUGACAACACGCAUACACCUGGUAGUAACCGUAGCAAGCAGCAAGGAGGGUUAUCUGGUACUCCAUGUACAGAAGUCUCAGGCAGUGCCAUCAAACCCAAAACACAAGUUCACACUGAUUAAAUGUAACACCUGAAAAAAUGUAUACAUUUCCUAAUCUCGAUUUGAUUUUUUAUUUUAAUAGAGCUGUUCAGAAUAGAUACUUGCAAAAAGCUGCACUCUUCACAUACACCUAUCAGCAAAAUCCUUUGAUUAAAGGUUUAAAUUGAAACGAUAUUUUGAAAUCACAGAAUCAGGCUGGAAAAGACCUCUGAGAUCACAGAGUUAAACUGAACACCACCAUGUCAACCAGCCUGCAGCACUCAGUGCCAUGUCCAGUCUUUCCUUAAACACCUCCAGGAGCAGUGACUCCACUGCCUUGAUAACAAGGCAUACUCUGCCACUGUGUGAGUUUUGGGGUUUUUUAGUAUUUACCCUAAUGGUAUGUGAUGCAAAUUUUAUCGGUGUUACCUAACAGGGAAAAAGGAAGACAAACUCAGUGCGGUUAAUAUUCUGAACAUGUGACUUAAUUUCAUAGGCUUCAUUUUGUUAAGACAUUCUCAUUUUAUAUUUCAUAAGAUACUGCAUAACCUGUUAAAAUAUUUAAAGAUAAAUCAUGUAGGACUGAAAAGACAGUAUCUUGUUGCAAACAGAAUUUGGUUUGGAAAGGCUUAAUGUCCCACUGCCUGCCAGGAUGCGUAAAUCUCAUAACUAGACAGCUGGAUAGGUAAAAACAUUAAACCCAUUUAGAGGGCAAUCUUUUUACAAAAUUGUUUCAUUAAUAAGAGUGACAAUUUAUAUGAUUGAGAUGUUUAGAUGCAGUAUAGACAGUGCAUUUUAUCCAGGUUCAUGAGGAUGAUUUCAGAUUAGUAAUAUUUCCUUUGAUUCUUUUUUUAAUAGCAUUCAUUUUUGAAAGGGAAGCUCUUACUGAAUGAUUAUUUGACUUUUCAGCAGCACUAAAUGCAGAGGGUGUAUUUCAGCCUCAGUGCAGCAAAUGCAUGUGAUAAAAGGUGAACAAGUAUGUGUUUUUCUUCACAAAUCUCCUUAAAAAAAAAAAGUGAUUUUUCACAUAAGGACAAACCUAAGUGUUUCCAGUAGCCUUCUGCCCACACCUACCGUCCCCAUUACAGCCUGUUUCAUUGUGUGAAAUGCCUCUGGUUUCAAGAAAGUGUUUUAUCUAAAGCAAGAAUACUACUUAAAUAUGUUCUAUUGUAUAUUCAUAGCUCCAUUAGUCCUCCUGCAAUUUAGCACAUCAAAGCAAAGGCUUCAUCACUUGCGUGUGGAUUAUGCUAACAUGAGUGACAUUUGUAAUCUUAUAGGUCUGCAACUUAAGAAAUGCUUUUAAAGUAAGCUAUUAAAUAGGUAGCUGUGCUUUACAAAUGAGUCAUAUAAUAGUUUAUUUAAAGCUGUUAAUGAACUUCAACCUCUACAUCACUAAAUGCUAUACUACAUUUCUUACUAUAAGUUAUUAGCUAUCUUCUUAGCACUUCUAGGUUAUAUUGGACAACCAAAAAUCUGUACAUGUUAGAUUUAAAUACUGUACCUUGAGUGCUUAUACUGAAAGAAUAUAAAAAGAUGUCUACAGUCUCACUAAUACUUGAAUUCUAUAUUCAUAUGACUUCAAGUGUCUUUUCAAAGAUACUGAAGCAGCACAAUUUACAGACUCUGAAGACUUUAAUGCCAGAUCAAAAAGCUUAGAAACUUAUUUAAAAUACCCACAAGUGCAUUUAAUUAAAGUCAUACAUAGUGUCAGUCAUAUUGUGCUUUAUAUGUUAUGCAACUAGUCUUUUGUCUUUACUGUCUGAUACUGUACAUUGCUAUGUUUCCUCUGAAACUGGGCUUCCUCAAGCACUGACGUGUUAAAAGUAAAAAUUCAGCAGCCCUCCAAUAUACUAGAUAUCAUGAAGUAGAACCUGAAACAAAAAUAUCUGCUGUUGGUUGUUUAUACAGAUAAAUCUAUAAAUCAGCUUUUUGUGUUAUUGGCAUCACAACAUAAAUAAGUCAAGCUCACUCUAUAACCAAGCAGCUGAGCACUGAACACCUUCUAAAAAACAGAAUUAAACAAAAUAAUGGUGUGUUAUGAAUGCAUUAGUUUCCUAUAAAAGUAGAGUAUUUCUUAAUAUUGAUUUGCUUUGAAUUGCAGCAAAGGCAGAUUCGUUGCUUGCAGGUUCCUGACUGAAGGCAUACAGUGGACAGCCACAGAUCCAUGUUAGUAUUCUUGCUAAAAACAUGAAAAAGUCAGAUUUUGUUUUUAUCAAAGUAUUCUGCACAAAUCUACAACUAAACAGCUGAUGGUAAAAACACGCAAAAUGAAGUUGUUCCCUUUGUAAGCUUAGAGGUGGCUCUGCUGCUUUGUGGGGAGGUGGUUUUUGUUUGUUUGCUUUCAGUAAACAGAUCAUAUUUUGAGAUCAGCUAGUUCUCAGAAACAGCCCAGGAAACAGGUUUUUCUUUCCUUAAGAUUAUCAGUGUUGAAAAGUUAAAGUCUCACCACAGCAAACACAACUUUAUGUUGUGCAGAUCAGAAUAGCUAUUGUAUUCCUUUUCAUGAAUACUCAAUUCUAGUGCCCAGCAUGAGGUACAGACCUUUCGUUGGCUUUUAUUUUUUUGUCUUAUGGUAUAUUCAUACCCUCUUAUGCUUGCAUGCUCAGAGACACAGGCACAUCCUUAAAACAGAAGGAACUGGAAAGAAAGAAACCACAGUACCUCUGUUGUGCUGUAAUUCACUGCACUGGGAAUUAUAAUGUACUUGUUGUUACCAGAAUUAAGAAUCUCCAUGAAAAAAAAAAAAAUUGUAGUACUCAUUAUCCUUGUCACAGGUAACAUAGUCAAGUAGUUUACCAGAGCCCUUCUUGGCAUAAGACAAAAGAAAAAAUCCAAACCAAAAACCUACUUUUAAAGGUAAUUGACAGUUAAGGUGAGAACUACGUAAGGUUAAGUUGCAGAAUGCUUUGAAUGUAAUUAAAAAAAAAAAAAGCAAAGCUUCUAAAACCCAUAUUCGGUUUUGUUUUACUUUUUAUUAUUUAAAUACACCAUACUAGAGCAAAUGUCUCUGAAAAUAUCACAAAUAAAAGAUUUUUCUUCAUUCAGCAAAUUAGAAGUAGGUGAAAAUUUCUACACAGUAGCUGCUAUGAGCCUGACUUUCUUUCUUUUUUUUCUUUUUUUUUUCCUUUUUUCUUU